CAGUCAGCGUGAACAUUCUAUUUUUUCAGCAUGAAGUAAUCAAGCAGUAAUUCAGAGUUGCACAGAGUUGUGAAUGCUAAAGAAAACCAUCUCAAAGCAAUUCAUGGAUACUUAAGCAUCUACUGCUUUCUGGAGAAGAGAAUUGGUUGAGAGAAAGAUAAAACUCCUCACCUUCAGCUGAAAAGUGGGAGACAACUUGUUGUUAACUCGUGAAUUCGUGACGCUGAGGCCGGGGCAAUGGAGUAUGGUCACCGACAAAGAGUGGAAGAGCAGAAGCAGUCUUCAGACAAUGCCAGGCUGGACUUUAUGCAAGUGGCAAAGGUCCCAUUGUUGGAGUUAAAGUUGGAGUUAAGAACUGUGAUCCUAU